rnacentral:rRNA from 1 species
GAUGAACGCUGGCGGCGUGCCUAAUACAUGCAAGUCGAGCGAACGGACGAGAAGCUUGCUUCUCUGAUGUUAGCGGCGGACGGGUGAGUAACACGUGGAUAACCUACCUAUAAGACUGGGAUAACUUCGGGAAACCGGAUCUAAUACCGGAUAAUAUUUUGAACCGCAUGGUUCAAAAGUGAAAGACGGUCUUGCUGUCACUUAUAGAUGGAUCCGCGCUACAUUAGCUAGUUGGUAAGGUAACGGCUUACCAAGGCAACGAUGCAUAGCCGACCUGAGAGGGUGAUCGGCCACACUGGAACUGAGACACGGUCCAGACUCCUACGGGAGGCAGCAGUAGGGAAUCUUCCGCAAUGGGCGAAAGCCUGACGGAGCAACGCCGCGUGAGUGAUGAAGGUCUUCGGAUCGUAAAACUCUGUUAUUAGGGAAGAACAUAUGUGUAAGUAACUGUGCACAUCUUGACGGUACCUAAUCAGAAAGCCACGGCUAACUACGUG